rnacentral:tRNA from 1 species
GUUUUUAUAGCUUAAAUCAAAGCAUAAUAAUGAAAAUAUUAAGAUACGAAAGUUUUAAACGUCAAAUCCA